rnacentral:pre_miRNA from 1 species
AGAGGAAGUGCCAGAUCCUGGGCUGUGUCCCCGGCGCCCUGGGCUCCCGGACCUGCGCUGUUGGAUUCGCGCUCCCGGCCGGCCAGCCCCCU